GAUGAACGCUGGCGGCGUGCCUAAUACAUGCAAGUCGAGCGAAUGGAUUAAGAGCUUGCUCUUAUGAAGUUAGCGGCGGACGGGUGAGUAACACGUGGGUAACCUGCCCAUAAGACUGGGAUAACUCCGGGAAACCGGGGCUAAUACCGGAUAACAUUUUGAACCGCAUGGUUCGAAAUUGAAAGGCGGCUUCGGCUGUCACUUAUGGAUGGACCCGCGUCGCAUUAGCUAGUUGGUGAGGUAACGGCUCACCAAGGCAACGAUGCGUAGCCGACAUGAGAGGGUGAUCGGCCACACUGGGACUGAGACACGGCCCAGACUCCUACGGGAGGCAGCAGUAUGGAAUCUUCCGCAAUGGACGAAAGUCAGACGAAGCAACGCCGCGUGAGUGAUGAAGGCUUUCGGGUCGUAAAACUCUGUUGUUAGGGAAGAACAAGUGCUAGUUGAAUAAGCUGGCACCUUGACGGUACCUAACCAGAAAGCCACGGCUAACUACGUGCCAGCCGCCGCCGUAA
rnacentral:rRNA from 1 species